rnacentral:pre_miRNA from 1 species
GUAAUAUUACCUCCGUCCCGAAAAGCUUGUCAUAGAUUUGUCUGAUACGGAUGUAUAUGUAUCUACACUUUUUUUUAGUGUUAGAUACAUCUGUAUUUGCACAAAUAUAAGACAAGCUUUUCGGGAUGGAGUGAGUAAAAA